AUCAUAAAGUAAGCAGCACAGAAGACUCAGUGGCUGAAAAUGAAAGGAUGAGGACUUGAACUCAAAUACCCUGAGAUGAUGAAAGUUCCUACCUUCUGGGCAGAGGAUGGCAAACUACAGCCCAUGGGCUGGAACCGGUGUCAGGCUUUCAAUCCGGUCAGCGGGACUGCCAGCCCCCUGGCGCAGCAGGACUAAGGCAGGCUCCCUGAUUGCCCUGGCCCUGCGCCACUCCCGGAAGCGGCCAGCACCACAUCCCUGAGGCUGCUGAGGGGGCAGAGGGGUCCGUGCGCUGCCCUCGCCUUCAGGCACCGCCCCCCACAGCUUCCAUUGGCUGGUAAUGGGGAACCGCGGCCAAUGGGGGCUUCGGGGGUGGUACACACAGGCAAGGCAUCACGCGGCAGAGCCACUUGCUCCACCCCACCCCCAGGAGCCCCUGCUGCACAUGUUAGCCACUUCCGGGAGCAGUGCGGGGCCAGGGUAGGCAGUAGGAGCCUGCCUUAGCCCUACUAUGCGCUGCUGCCACCCCAAAGCCACUCGAGGACUGGCUCCAGGUAUGUUGGUGCUUCAGGUGAAGACAGGAUUUGGUGCCACUGGCUGUGCUCCACAGCUGGGCUGACUGGAAGACAAGAAUUCCAUUUCACAAAAAAUGGCAAGGUUUCAGUAGCUGGUUUUGUUCCACAAAAUGAAAUGAAAUGAAAACUAGGCCUUUUGAAUUUUUUUAUGAAAAACAGUUGAGCGUUGUCCCAGAAUAAUCAAUACCUAAGUGGUCAGGGAAUUCACCUGGAUGUGGGAAAGCUGCAAAUAAGGCAGAGCAAGGACUUGAACCUGGGUCUUCCAUAGUCCCAGGGAGUGCCAUGACCACUGACUGGGCUAUUGGCUAUUCUGGGGUGAAACACUCUGGCUGUCUCUCCCUUCCCCUUAAAUCCUGGGCAAUAAACCUCACCAGAAAUGUUUUUUUAUCAAAACUGCACAUUUCUGCAAAAAGUUUCAAUUUCAAUGAAAAAAUAUUGUAUCGAAAAAUCCGUGACCAGCUCCACUCCAGAAUCCUUUGUAUAGCUAUAGCAGAGCUCUCCCAGGGAGGGGAAAACCGUCUUGUGGUCCCUCUUGCCUGAAGAUGAAUGAUUGCAAUAAGGCCAUGACCCUCGUGAUAGUGGCAUCGUAAGCAACCACCCCUGACGACAUCACAAUCUGAUCUCACACGGGUGAGAAUCGAGUCAUUCCAAACCAAAGUCAAUGAAGUUACACACAUGUACAUUAUGUUUAAGUCUGGCCCAGUGGGAGGUGGGGCAUUGUGUUUGUACAACACCUAGGGCAACAUGGUCCCAGUCCAUAACUAGAGCCCCUGAGCUCUAUGGUAAUACAAAUAAAUAAAUCCAAACAAACGAACCUAAAAUCAGCCUACACCUAAAACUAGCCUCACUCUUUCCCAGGCUGUCUCCAUUCCCUUGCAAGGUCUCCUUAUUGUGAAUGCCACUAAUUUCACAUUCUACUUACAAAGGGACCCAAUACUGCAAGGUACUGAAUGCCUCCGCCUCAUUGGAUCAGAUUCUGAUCUGAUGUACACAUAUGUAACUUCACUGACUUCGGUUUGGAAUUACUUCUGAUUGACACCAGUGUGGGAUUAGAAUUGGGUUCACUGAGUUUAAUGGAAGUUGAAGGCAGUUGGCACCAACCAGAAUGCAUUUAAUACCAUGCAGGAUUGAGCCCAAAGUGCUGUUCACUUGCAACAAAACUCCUGAAACUGCCCAGUCAAAAAGUGAAUUGUUUGCAUUUGGUUGGAACACAACUUAUACUUUGCCAGUGUUUUGCUUUGCUCUCUCUCUAUUAACUUCCUCCUACUGCUCCUCUGACAGCCAAUUAUUUCAGCUAUCCUUUAAGAAAACAGGACUUGCGCUAUACUCAGGUAAAUUUACUUGUAGUAUGCUUAACAAACCAU